AACGCGAAGAACCUUACCUGGCCUUGACAUGUCUGGAAGACCGUAGAGAUAUGGUUGUGCCCGAAAGGGAACCAGAACACAGGUGCUGCAUGGCUGUCGUCAGCUCGUGUCGUGAGAUGUUGGGUUAAGUCCCGCAACGAGCGCAACCCUUGUCCUUAGUUGCCAGCACUUCGGGUGGGCACUCUAAGGAGACCGCCGGUGACAAACCGGAGGAAGGUGGGGAUGACGUCAAGUCAUCAUGGCCUUUAUGGCCAGGGCUACACACGUGCUACAAUGGCCGGUACAAAGGGUUGCCAACCCGCAAGGGGGAGCUAAUCCCGGAAAGCCGGUCGUAGUCCGGAUCGGAGUCUGCAACUCGACUCCGUGAAGUUGGAAUCGCUAGUAAUCGCAAAUCAGCAUUGUUGCGGUGAAUACGUUCCCGGGUCUGACCACCA
rnacentral:rRNA from 1 species